rnacentral:rRNA from 1 species
UACGUAGGGGCCUAGCGUUGUCCGGAUUUAUUGGGCGUAAAGAGCUCGUAGGCGGUUUGGUGAGUCGGGUGUGAAAUCUCCACGCUCAACGUGGAGGGGCCACCCGAUACUGCCAUGACUAGAGUCCGGUAGGGGAGUGUGGAAUUCCCGGUGUAGCGGUGAAAUGCGCAGAUAUCGGGAGGAACACCAGUAGCGAAGGCGACUCGCUGGACAGGUAUUGACGCUGAGGUUCGAAAGCGUGGGGAGCAAACAGG